GAUGAAUGCUGGCGGCGUGCUUAACACAUGCAAGUCGAGCGGAAAGGCCCUUCGGGGUACUCGAGCGGCGGACGGCUGAGUAACGCGUGGGAACAUGCCCCACAGUGAGGAAUAACUGCCCGAAAGGGUGGCUAAUGCCGCAUAUGAUCUUCGGAUUAAAGGAUUUAUCCGCUUUGGGAGUGGCCUGCGUAUGAUUAGGUAGUUGGUGAGGUAAUGGCUCACCAAGCCGACGAUCAUUAGCUGGUCUGAGAGGAUGACCAGCCAGACUGGAACUGAGACACGGUCCAGACUCCUACGGGAGGCAGCAGUGAGGAAUAUUCCACAAUGGGCGAAAGCCUGAUGGAGCAACGCCGCGUGAAGGAUGAAGGCCCUCGGGUUGUAAACUUCUUUUAUAAGUGAAGAAUAUGACGGUAACUUAUGAAUAAGCACCGGCUAACUACGUGCCAGCAGCCGCGGUA
rnacentral:rRNA from 1 species